rnacentral:tRNA from 1 species
AGGUGUAGCUCAGAGGUAGAGUGUGUGCUUAGCAUGCACGAGGUCCUGGGUUCAAUCCUCGGUACCU